rnacentral:rRNA from 1 species
GACGAACGCUGGCGGCGUGCUUAACACAUGCAAGUCGAACGGUAAGGCCCUUCGGGGUACACGAGUGGCGAACGGGUGAGUAACACGUGGGUGAUCUGCCCUGCACUUCGGGAUAAGCCUGGGAAACUGGGUCUAAUACCGGAUAGGACCACUGCCUGCAUGGGUGGUGGUGGAAAGCUUUUGCGGUGUGGGAUGGGCCCGCGGCCUAUCAGCUUGUUGGUGGGGUGAUGGCCUACCAAGGCGACGACGGGUAGCCGGCCUGAGGGGGUGACCGGCCUCACUGGGACUGAGAUACGGCCCAGACUCCUACGGGAGGCAGCAGUGGGGAAUAUUGCACAAUGGGCGCAAGCCUGAUGCAGCGACGCCGCGUGAGGGAUGACGGCCUUCGGGUUGUAAACCUCUUUCGGCACCGACGAAGCGCAAGUGACGGUAGGUGCAGAAGAAGGACCGGCCAACUACGUGCCAGCCGCCGCAGUAA